CUGUGUUUUUGCCGGCUUCUAANCUCUGGCCUCUUUUNCAAAGUGGCCUUUCACUUUUGAUACUUGACCUCAAANCAANGAAGGAUUCCCCGCCUGAACUUA
rnacentral:rRNA from 1 species